UGGGAGAUAUUGCACAAUGGGCGCAAGCCUGAUGCAGCCAUGCCGCGUGUAUGAAGAAGGCCUUCGGGUUGUAAAGUACUUUCAGCGAGGAGGAAGGCGUUGUGGUUAAUAACCGCAGCGAUUGACGUUACUCGCAGAAGAAGCACCGGCUAACUCCGUGCCAGCAGCCGCGGUAAUACGGAGGGUGCAAGCGUUAAUCGGAAUUACUGGGCGUAAAGCGCACGCAGGCGGUCUGUCAAGUCGGAUGUGAAAUCCCGGGCUCAACCUGGGAACUGCAUCCGAAACUGGCAGGCUAGAGUCUUGUAGAGGG
rnacentral:rRNA from 1 species